UCCCCAUCUCAUCUCACUUGCAUCUCGCCGCCACUCCUCCCAAUCCCGCCAUGGACGCCGCCUCCCGUCCGGCGGCGCCGCCGCCGCACCCCGCACCCAACACUUGACCUCACACACGCUGCCUCUCCCACUCCUCUAGCGGCGUCUCCAUCCUCCUCGCUGUACAUCCACUCCAGCGCGCCGCCCACAUCCACAAAUCGACCGGCGCCUCCCUUACCAGGGAGAUCCGCAUCGUCGACGUCCAGCCAAUCCGACGCCAUCUCAUCCCCAUCGACCGACGCCCCCUUGCUGUCCAGCGCCGACUCCAUCGGCAUCGACCGGCGCCUCCCUCGCAGUCGAGCGCCACCCUGUUGACGUCCAGCAGCCCACCUCGACGUCCAGCCACUCCAGUGCCUCCCCAUCGACCGACGCGCACUCGUCUUGCAGAUCCGCCUCCCUGCCUCGUCCUCCUGCUUCCCUCUAGUCCAGCGCCUCGAAACCACCAAAAAGUGUGUUGUGAAGGCCAAGUUUGAGAAGUGGUGGUGUCGCAGAGCACAAUCCUCUCCAUUGACAGCAUUAUUGAAUGGCGGAGCAUGGGUGGAUGUAUAGUGGUUGGACUCACAGUAAAUCAACUGAUGAGUGGUAUAAUAAGACAAAAGAAUUCAUAGAUUUUGCGUUCUCUAUGCCAAGUGUAGUUCAGAAUGGAAAGAUUAAGUGUCCGUGUGCUAAAUGUCGAAACUAUGAGAGCAAGAACAGGGAUGAUGUAGAGUUAGAUAUGUGUCAUUUUGGUUUCAAGCGGAAUUAUACUGUUUGGACUGCACAUGGU